GUGAAGCACUGAGGCAUGAGAACAUGAAGCCUGCAGGUGUCCAUGUGAGACCAGGGCCAGGGAGGGGAUAUAGGCUCUGAGGGAGCACGUACCAGGGGCCCAGAUGUCUGUAGGACGAGUGUCACAGAAGCUUCUUGGAGGAGGCGGUGGCUAAGCUGAGUUCUACAGGACUGGACUCCUUCCAUGAGUACAGGAACCACAUCUGCUUUGCUCACCACUCCAUGCCCAGUGUACCCGGCACAGGGUCUGGCACCUACACUGGGGCUCCUGAUUAACUGUGGGAUGACCGAAGGAACAAUGACUGGUUUACAUCUUCCAGGAGGCCAUCUCUGUGACCUCUCCUGGCCCUGGUCGAGCUCCUGGUCUUCCCUGUUUCCCUUCCCUGGGCCCCGCAAACAACUCAGUGGGAGCACUCAACCAGGUGCUGGGUGAUUUUCUUGCCUUCCUGUCUCUUCCUCCAGUGUGUGGCCUCCUCCAGUCCUGAGCCCGGCCUCUCCCCUCAGCCGCUCCAGCACGCACAGGCCCGGGCAGC
ensembl:lncRNA